rnacentral:rRNA from 1 species
GACGAACGCUGGCGGCGCGCUUAACACAUGCAAGUCGAACGGAAAGGCCUGCUUUCCCUUGUGGAUUGCGGGUACUCGAGUGGCGAACGGGUGAGUAACACGUGAGUGAUCUGCCCCCAACUUGGGUAUAAGCCUGGGAAACUGUGUCUAAUUCCCGAUAGGACUGCAGGGUGGUGCCUGUGGUGGAAAACGAUUUUCUAGUGGUUGGGGAUGAGCUCGCGGCCUAUCAGCUUGUUGGUGGGGUAAUGGCCUACCAAGGCGGCGACGGGUAGCCGGACUGAGAGGGUGGACGGGCACAUUGGGACUGAGAUACGGCCCAGACUCCUACGGGAGGCAGCAGUGGGGAAUAUUGCAGAAUGGGCGGAAGCCUGAUGCAGCGACGCAGCGUGGGGGAUGACGGCCUUCGGGUUGUAAACUCCUUUCGACCGCGAGGAAGCCACCUGGUUGGAAGGGUGGUGACGGUAGUGGUAGAAGAAGCACCGGCUAACUACGUG